rnacentral:rRNA from 1 species
CACUGCACCCACUCCAACCCUAGUGGCUAGUCUUCUGACUAACAGUAGGGUCGGGCUCGGUUAGUACUUGGAUGGGAGAUCGCCUGGGAAUCCCAGGUGCUGUAGGCU